UACGUAGGGGCCUAGCGUUGUCCGGAUUUAUUGGGCGUAAAGAGCUCGUAGGCGGUUCGGCAAGUCGGAUGUGAAAUCUCCACGCUUAACGUGGAGGGGCCAUUCGAAACUGCCGUGACUCGAGUCCGGUAGGGGAGUGUGGAAUUCCCGGUGUAGCGGCGAAAUGCGCAGAUAUCGGGAAGAACACCAGUGGCGAAGGCGGCUCACUGGCCCGGUACUGACGCUCAUGUGCGAAAGCGUGGGGAGCAAACAGGG
rnacentral:rRNA from 1 species